AGCAUUGUUGCUCAAAUCAAACGUAUGGGUUAUGUGCGAUGAUUGUGAUUAUGUACAUUAGGUUUUGGAGGGUGUCUCAACCGGGACCGGAAGAAGAGGAGAGGCCGGCAGGUAGCGCGCAAUCAACAAGUAAAGAAAUACUGCUAGCAAGUGGUUGUUUGGUUCCGACAAAUAAGAGCCAGUUAUGACAAAAAAAGUUUUCAAAAGUCUGCGCGUUGGAAUUCAGUGACGCUGCACGUCCAGCAGAUGGCACUGUGGUGAAACGCGUUGCACCAUGGCAACAGUUGGACCACGGACCAGACUAUUCUACUGAUGUAAAAUAUACAAACAAGAUGCAAGUCGACCAACGCUCUCCUCUCCUCACCUGGGACGGACGUCCCGAGCGCCACGAAGACCACGGCGGUGACCGAGUCCUUGAGGCCGAUGGUGCAGCCGAAGUGAGACGCCAGGUCGCCGAUGACGGCCGUCAGCAGGCCGAUGAUGACGAUGGACACCACGAAGCACGCCCAGCCGUUCAUGUAGUCGGUGGGCGGCACGCAGGCGAACAGAACCUUCCAGAAGACCGUCAGGAAGUGCAUGACGUAGUCGAAGCAGGACGGGAGACGCUCCUCGCCCGCGUCGUCCUCUUCCUCAUCUGGUGGAGGAGAAACCCUUUACAUGCCAGCUGUUGUGCUAAAAAGACGACAAGGCGAUGGAAGAUCUCCUCGGCGUCCCGUCAGGACGUCUCCAGGCGUGUCAGCGAUGGAGCUCCUCAGGUGGAGGAGAAUCAGGAAGAAGAAGACGUUAUUCCAAGUGUCAGGCCACGAGAGCCGCAUGCAUUUUUCAAGCCCAGGGUGCCUCAUGAAAAAAUCAGAGUGCCACUCCAUUCAAUAUUUCAUGGCGGGAGUGACAAUCGCUGGCCUUCACGCGCCCGCUACACGCCGGCCGCGAUGGCGGCGGUGGCGCUGCAGGCCGCAGGAAGCUGAGAUGACGGCGGUGUGCGUGACGCCAUGGAUGACUUUUUCUUCCUCCCUACGAGCGCUCUGCUGUCCGAGAAGAUUCUCGCAACAAAGCUGGAUUCUUUUUGGAGGCUGAAAUGUGAGUCAGCAGCUUUCAUGACUAAGUGUAAAAAAGACUUCUAACGCAGACAUUCAGCCAAUCAGAGGCAAGAACACAGGCUCUCAUGUACCGAUCACUACCUAAAAAGACCAGAUAAGUAUCACAGGACACAAUACCACAAAGUACUGCGUCAGACAGCCAAAUUACUUGAAUGUACUUGCAUGUGACCACGCUCGCCAACCUCCAUUUUUUAACACACAUAGUAGAUGGCUAGAGGAAUCAUCUGUUCCAGGGUCAAACUGUGGCCGUGAUGAAAGCUUAUUUAGUACAAAUUGUCACACCGCGGUGAGGGAAGUCUUGUCUUGGGUUUUUCUGUCUUGUGAUCUACAUGUUUUAUUUUGAAAAGCAACUCCUCUUGUUUCAGAUCACGGGUCCUUCCUCUUGUGUCACCAGUCUGACGUCAUUCCUGACCCUUGAUUGUUUCCACCUGUUUCCCAUUACCCUCAUGUUCUUUAUAAGCCCAAGCCUCCCCUUGUUCUGUGCCAGAUUGUCUCGAGCUUUCGUGCCUGUCUUGCGUUCCAUGUCCCUGUUCCAUGUCCAUGCCUUGCCUUGUCUCACGUCUACGUCCUUGCUCCCAGAAUAUCCCACGCUGUAAUUUUGAAUUGACUUUUUUCCUCCCUCAGAGCAACUUUUGUUAUCCUACCUUUUUUCUACCGCAGUGGUGAGUUAUUAUUUUUCCUUAAAGAUUUUUUCCUCAAAGUUUGUUGAGUGAUUUUUUGUUUACAUUGAUUAGAGUAGUUAAGUUUUAUAGUCUUUAUUUUCUUCCUCCUGUUUGGAGCGUUUUUUGUUAAAGUUUUUGAUAACAGAUACGGUGCUAAUUAUACCAUCCUUAUUUUUGUAUUCCUCCUUUUUUUUGGAGUGAUUUUCGGUUUUUCCCUUUUGGAACAUUUUGUCGAUAGUAUUUUUGUAUUUCAUAGUAAUUGAAUUUACUCGGCUCUGGAGGCUUAAAAAGUAUUUCAAAAUAAAAGCUUUAUUUGGAAUCACCUCUCUGCAUCUGAGUCCCUUCCUCCGUCCAAGCCUGACACAAAUGAAGUCAGAUUUUCAGCUAAUGAUAAUGUGAUUGUUUUCUUUGGCUUUUUAGCGGACUCGAGUGUGCAAGCGACACAUUUGAACAUUAUGAAUGUUCAAAUGUGACUUAAAACAUUGUGUGGCAUUUAUCAUGGCCACAGUUUGACACUGGAACAGAUCAUUUACAGUAAAUUUGCAAAAUUCUCUAUGGGGGAAAUUCUACAUUUGAACAAUCUGGAGGUUGAGCAAGGUCUAACUGAACUAUGAGCUCGCAUGUACUUCACUUACCUUAUAGAAGUUCCAUCAUAUACAUUCAUAUAUUUAUUGUUAACUUCAUGCAGCUCUGCCGUAUCGCUCAGUAUCUAAAAGUAUCCUCCUCUAUCUUAAAGUACCUUCCCAGCAGGCACAAAACACACACGUCCUUUUAAACUGACUUUGAAACAACGUUGCAAAAUAGUUGUAUUUAUAAACUGGAUGUCUAACGUUGGACCCACGUUGUUGUUUGGGAAAUGACCAAAUUUCGAUGGUCAAAUCAGCAUUGAUUAAAAGUAGUCAAAAAGCAUGUUGUUUCAACGUUAGGUUUGAGUUGCUCAACGUCAGGACCUAAUUCAACAAGUUCUCAACGUUGUUUUAAUGUUUUGUUCCUGCUGGCCAAAAGUAUAUUCCAGUAUCUUAAAAUACCCUCCUGUAUCUUAAAGUAUCUUCCAUGAUCUUCCAGUAUCUUAAAGUACCUCUCCCAGUACCUUAUAGCAUCUUCCAGAAUACAAAAGUACCUCGUAGUAUCUUCUAGUAUUUUAAAGUACCUUCCAGUAUUUUAAAGUAUAUUGCAGUAUCUUAAUGUACCUUCCUGUAUCAUAAAGUAUGUUUCUGUAUCUUAAAGUACAAACGUACAUCCCGUAUCUUAAAGUGUCUUCCAGUAUCCUAGAGUAUCUUCCGGUAUCCUAAAGUAUCUUCCAGUAUAUUAAAGUACCUUCUAGUAUCUUCAAAGUAUCUUCCAGUACCCUAAAGUAUCUUCCAGUAUCCUAAAGUAUCUUCCAGUAUCUUAGAAGUGUCUUCCAGUAUCUCAAAGCAUCUUCCAGUAUCCUAAAGUAUCUUACAGUAUCUUAAAGCAUCUUUUUAAAGUAUCUUCCAGUAUCCUAAAGUAUCUUUAUGUAUCUUCCAGUACCCUUAAGUAUAUUCCAGUAUCCUAAAGUAUCUUAAAGCAUCUUCCAGUAUCUUAAAGCAUCUUCCGGUAUCCUAAAGUAUCUUCCGGUAUCCUAAAGUAUCUUCAAGGAUCUUAAAGCAUCUUCCAGUAUCUUAAAGCAUCUUCUAGUAUCUUAAAGUAUAUUUAUCUUAUGGUAUCCUAAAGUAUCUUCUAGUAUCUUUCAGUAUCUUAAAAGUAUCUUCCAGUACCCUAAAGUAUCUUCCAGUACCCUAAAGUAUCUACCAGUAUCUUAAAGCAUCUUAUAGUAUCUUAAAGUAUCUUCCAGUAUCCUAAAGUAUCUUCUAGUAUCUUCCAGUACCCUUAAGUAUAUUCCAGUAUCCUAAAGUAUCUUACAGUAUCCUAAAGUAUGUUCUAGUUUCUUCAAAGUAUCUUCCAGUACGCUAAAGUAGCUUCCAGUAUUCUAAAGUAUCUUCCAGGAUCUUAAAGUAUCUUCCAGUACCAUAAAGUAUCUUCCAGUAUCUAAAGGCAUCUUCCAGUAUCUUAAAGCAUCUUCCAGUAUGUUAAAGCAUCUUACAGUAUCUUCCAGUACCCUAAAGUGUCUUCCAGUAUCCUAAAGUAUCGUCUAGUAUCUUCCAGUAUCCUAAAGUAUUUUCUAUUAUCUUCAACGUAUCUUCCAGUAUCUUAAAGCAUCUUCCAGUAUCUUAUAGUAUAUUCCUGUACCCUAAAGUAUCUUCCAGUAUCCUAAAGUAUCUUCCAAUAUCUUAAAGUAUUUUCCAGUAUCUUCCAGUACCUGCACUGACGGUGAUGGCCUCCAUGAACUGUUCUCUCCAAGAGUUGGUUCCCACCACCAGAGCCAGGAAGAUUUUGUCUUGACCCGAGAUCUACAAAGCGGAGAGGAAGCAGGACCUGACCUCCCCCUCCAGGCACCUUUUCCUUGAACUGUUUUGUGACCAAAGGCAGCGGCUGUUUACGACCCCCUUCCUUUAGAAACAUCUGUUGCCAUGUAAUCAGGGAAAGUCCAAAUAAAAGAGGAGGCGUACAAUCUUUCGUCAGAGCGUGGUGGGACACUGUUCAAGAGUACAGCCCAGACGUUUCUCCUCAAUUGAGCUAAAUUUUAAUUCUGUCUCUGUUUAAUUCCUUGCUUCUUGUCUUGUUUAAUAGAUGUCAUCAGUGUUUGAACCUGACAAGCGGUACUUUAACUUUAACUUUUAUAACAUGUUAUUAUAUUACGCCAUAUUGUCAUGUUAUCGUAACAUAAUCUCGUCAUGGUAUCAUAACAUGAUCUCGUCAUGUCAUCAUGUCCUCGUGUAAUCAUGUCAUCAUAACACAAUGUCAUUAUGAUUUCAUAACAUAAUGUCAUGUUAUCGUGUAAUCAUGUCAUCAUGUAAUCAUGUUAUCAUGUCAACUAUCUGGCCUACAUUUGGACCGUCAGAACACUCAGAACCCUCCUCCCAAGUCCCCCUCCACCACGGAGUGGGGGCAGGGGGUGUGAUGGGGGUGGUGAUAAGGAAAUGAGUUAAUCUGGGUCCAAUUAGUACGCUAAGUGAUUCAAUAGAAGUCACCAAAUAGGUCCUGAGGGUCUGGGAUUGGACACGGCGUGGAAUCCGGACGCUGUCUUCCAUCUGACAAGGUGUGAUGUUGUUAUGUGGACUUAAACAAGGAACGGUCAAAAGGCGGUAGGCACAUUUAAACUUAUUUGAUAACGUUUGAAGUCGUAUGCCAACGUUGGGAGUUUAACAUGACAUCAUUAUGAACAAUACAUUAUUGAUAUUGUUACAGUCCUGCUACUAAAGGUAAAGAAGUGGUAGUGCUGACGGCGAGACACAGCCGGCAGGUGAUUAGAUUUCCCAGGUGGUACGUGUUAAUCUAAUCAUCUGUUGUCUUGAACAGUAAGCGGCCGGGAGCAGGAAGGGGAGAGAGGAUACGGACGUGACUGAAAAGUCACGUUCUGCGGAAGAAAGACUUUGAUAAAAACCUAUGUGCAUUAAAAACGUUUGGCUCAUGUGCCGUGUCUACAGCGGAACUGCUCGGAAGCGACUUCCGCAGUCUCGUUCAACGUGAGGCCAGCUAGAAGGCAACUCGUGAUCUGACCAAGGUGAAUACUGAUAAAUGUGGAAUGACAGCUCCAAAAACGAAUUCAAAACAAACUAAAAUAAAUCAACACAAAAAUGUGACACUUUAUGGGUGGGUCACACUAACGGUCCAGGUGAGUAUCCAAUCACAGGAUGCGUAAAUGUCACGUUCAAUGUGAGGCCAGCUAGAAGGCCUUACUGACAACAACUCGUGAUCUGAUUGACUAUCGCAACUGUCUAUCAACUGUAUGUUCACUUACACCCGCAUUGUUGAAUCUGAAGACCCCUGGCAGAUUUGGUACAGCAUGGCAACAUAAGCUAGCUGAAUUCUGAUUGGAUACAAACUAAAACUAAAAACAAUAGCACUAGAACGAGCAUAUAUAUGACAUGAAGAGAAUAUGAAUAAUUUUAGAUAUCUAGGGAAAGUAAAUUAAAUUUUUUUUUAAAUCUUUAAUUAUGAUCAUGAUUUGUGGUGAUGUUAGGCCAGCAGAGAAGGCCUCGCUGGCCCUGACGUCACACCACUCAGUAGCUCCAUUAAUGAUGACGUAAGCUUGACCGCUAACAAUGGCGCCAUUAGCUUGACUCUUAAAGCGACACAAAAAGGUCCUCGUCGAUCCGUCAGGAUUUAUGUUAGCCUGUGGCCCUGCCUCUCUGGCUAAGGCCACGUAAUGAGCUCCGGGAACGCCGAAAGGCUCCGGAAGGAUGAAUUGAAGGAGACGGCCGGUUGGCGAGCGUGAAACCCUCCAGAGGAUGCGUCACGGUGGAAAAAGCGAAGCUCUCGGCUAUGCUUGCUCAAAUAUUUCAUCCAUAUUUCAUAGGGAAACAUGGUGGAGAAGUGAGGAAAGUCCUUGGAAAGCACACUAAUGGAAGGAACUUCCUUAUAAGGCAUGACACGGGACAUGAAUCGGCAAUGAGUUUAAGGCCCACCUGUAGGGCUACAAAGGGUACGGUUUAUGGGGGCUGGGUAGCCAAGUUUUCGUUUACAAUGCUGGAUCUAUGCGAGCACCCUUUGAGGAAAAAAAAGAGGAAAACUGAUGAAAAAAAGAACAUUUCUAUCGACACCAAGUGCUGCCACGCAAGCCCCGAAAGAAAACUUUGAAAAUCAAGACUACUUUUCCUGAAAUUGAGUGCAUUUCUACACUAUAUAUUUUACCUUUAGAUUUAUUCUCCUCUCCCAACCUUUUUCACACUUACAUGUCCCAUGUAAUGUACCACAGAAUUGUUUGUAGAUAAUUAACUGACAUUAUUACCAUUCUGAAUAGAGAUGUCUGAUAAUGGCUUUUUUUGCUGAUAUCCCGAUAUUGUCCUACUCUUAAUUACCGAUUCCAAUAUCAACCGAUACCGAUAUAUACAGUCGUGGAAUUAACACAUUAUUAUGCCUCAUUUUGUUGUGAUGCCCCGCUGGAUGCAUUAAACAAUUGUCGGAGGCAGAUAUUUACAUAUAUCCGUAUUUAAGUGUUACUUCUUUAUUUUCAUAGUCAUAUUACAAAACAGCUAGUGUUCUUCCAAUUGUGGUCUUUUGGUUGUCUGCAAGUACUGUGUGCUAACCUUGACUUUAGGAAUGUAAGGAGGACAGAUACUCCUUUUCCUUAUCUGUUCCUGUGCCCAGCUGAGGAGGACAAUGGGCAUGUGUUUGGGCUGGAAAGAGAGACAACGAGGGUGGGAGCGAGAGACACUUUAUAGAAGAGAAGGUUUCCAUAUUUUAGAUCAGACCAUCUUAGCUGCGCGAUUGAAUGGUCUAUGCUGGACUGGUCUCAUUCUAUUUCCAAGGCUUUGGAAAUAAAAUU